GCCUCAUUAAGCCAAGAAAAAAAAUUGUUUUCUGGCGACAACAUGCCCACCUAUGUGUGAGAUACGUAGUUGAUUGCUGACUAUUCUACAUUAUUACAUCUCUAUGAGAGAGAUAAAUAGGAUGCUCUGGGUGUAUACUUAAGGUAUUGUUGUUCUUUCUAUUUUCAUAUAUUAACCAUUUGAAAUUUAAUAUUAAAGUGUGUUGACAAAAGAGGACCCUCUGACUGUAUAUCUUCUAUCUUUGGACUUACACUCAGAAGGCUGACACAUGUCUAUCAAGAGUAAAAGGACAAGGCAGGCGUGGUGGAGCACAAAUUUAAUCCCAGCACUUUGGAGGCAGAGGCAGACGGAUUUCUGUGUUCGAAGCCAGCCUGGUCUAGAAAGUGAGUUCCAGGACAGCCAGGGCUAUACAGAGCAACCCUGUCUCAAAAACAAAACAAAACAAAACAAAACAAACAAAACAAAACAAAAACAACAAAAAAAAAAAACAAAGAAAAAGGAUAACCCUGAUUAAUGACUGACACAAAAGCUAGGAUGCAUAACAACCAACUCUCACAGGAAUUGGUGAGAAAAUGACACACAAAGCAGCGCCCACUAUGCUUUCACCAGCAACCUUACUGGAAAUGUAUGAUCUCACUGCCCUCAUAUUUAAAUAAACAAUGGACCACUUAGAAGAUGAGUAUCCAACUCAUUUCAUUGCAGUGGAAGAGUACCUAUCAACAAGAAAAGUGGGAUUAAAGCUGAACAGAAAUCACAGAAGGAAGUCAAGGACCGCAUAAUAAACAUCUGUGAAUGGAAUUUAAAGACAUAAAAUAAGCUCUAAUAUCUAUUCCAAAUGUUUGAAAAUGAAACCACCACCACAAUUGGUGAUCUAUACUAUAACACUCGAGUGACCACGGGAAAUAAUUUACUUCCAUCAAGGCUCUGAUGAGGAAGAGAAGAAACAUCUGUAAUGUUACAGGCUAUAACAAGGUCAUCAACAUGGAUAGGGUUUUUCUCUUGUAUAAGAUUUUUUUCUAUUUCCUGACAUCAUGAUGAUAUAAAACACUUUAAUUAUAUAGAUGGCUAGAGACAUGGCCAAGUAAUUAAGAAAAUUUCAUUCCCAGCAAUAAAGUCAGGUUCGGACAUCUUCAUGUAUCUUUUGCCAAGAGAACAUACAACAACUUAAUAAUCUUGGAAAUCUUCAUAGACAUGCACAUACUCACCCGAAGAUGCAGACAAACCCCAUAAAUAAAAUUAAACGAAGUUGGUUAGCAAAGAAAAAUUUACUCGUGAUGUUAUUCUUGUAUAAACACUGACUACUAUAACAUAGGGUUUGUGGCAUCUAAGGCUUAUCCACAGAGUUUUUCUUCAUCAUGAGUUGGCUUAUAUUACAAAAGGCAAGCAUAGAGGAUUGAUGGCAGAGAAAUCAAUACUUCUUAGUAGUGUCAAGUGGGGAGAUGUAGGAAAUAUCUGCCUGCUGGAGAAAAUAUGUCACUGAGGUUGAAUUUCACAGUUUACUUCCUCAAAUCAUGUCUAGUCCUAACACACACACUCUCUCUCUCUGGCUUUUUUUUUUUUUUUUACCACAUUCCUUGUUUUUAUGAGGUUUCUUACAAGUCUGUGUUAAUUUAUACAUGAUGAGAUCAAUGUCAAUGUCAACUGCAAAGGCCUUACCACAUUAUUCACAGUUUCUCUCUCCAGUGUCUUCUUUUAUGUAUUCUGAGAUAUAUCAUGUGCUCUUUUAUGUAUUCAAAGAUAACUGUGAUACACAAAGGUUUACCACAUUGUGUAUAUUUACAUGGUCUCUCUCUGUAUCUCUCUGUCUGUCUCUCUCUCCAGUAUGUGCUCCUUUCUGCAUUAGGAGAUAACUGCCCAGCAUAGAUUUUUCCACAUUGCUUAUACUCAGAAGGAUUCUGGCCUCUACAAAUGUGUUCAUGACGAUUAAGACUAUGAUCACAUUCAGUCUUUCUCUUCAUUAUGUUCACUUACACAUUCAGAAAUAAUGGCGUUGUAAAAAGGCUCACAUCCAUUUCCUUCGUAGCUUUUUUUCUCCAGUGUGGAUUCUUUUAUUCUUUUGAAGAUGAAAAUGUUUUGAAAAGACUUACACACACUGAAUACACUUGUAAGGUUUCUCUCUAGUAUGUCUUCUCUUAUGAAUUUGUAGAUUAUAAUGCUGGGAAAAGGCUUUUUCACAUUCAUUACAUUUGAAGGGUUUCUCUCAGGUAUUUGCUCUUCUAUGAAUUUGGAGAUGACCUUAUUGGGAAAAGGUUUUAUCACAUUCAUUACAUUUGUAGGGUUUCUCUCAGGUAUGUGUUCUUCUAUGAGUUUGAAGAGUACUGUGUUGUGAAAAGGCUCUAUCACGUUGAUUACAUUAGUAGGGUUUUUCUACAGUAUGUAUCCUUAUAUGUGUUUGGAGAUGAUGUUUACAGGAAAAGGCUUUAUCACACUGAUUACAUUUGAAGGGUUUCUCUCCGGUAUGUGUUCUUCUAUGAGUUUGAAGAGAACUGUGUUGUGAAAAGCCUUUACCACAUUCAUUACAUUUGUAAGGCUUCUCUCUAGUAUGUGUUCUUAUAUGAUUUUGGAGGUGAAAGUGUCGUGAAAAGACUUUAUCACAAAGAUUACAUUGGAAGGGUUUGUCUCUGGUAUGUGUUCUUCUAUGAGUUUGAAGAUUACCUUGGUGUAAAAAGGCUUUAUCACAUUGAUUACAUUUGUAGGGUUUUUCUCCAGUAUGUAUCCUUAUAUGUAUUUGGAGAUUCUGUUUAUAGGAAAAGGCUUUAUCACAUUGAUUACAUUUGUAGGGUUUUUCUCCAGUAUGUAUCCUUAUAUGUAUUUGGAGAUUCUGUUUAUGGGAAAAGGCUUUAUCACAUUGAUUACAUUUGUAGGGUUUUUCUCCAGUAUGUGUCCUUAUAUGUGAUUGGAGACUACCUUUCUCUGAAAAGGCUUUGUCACAUUCAUUACAUUUGAAGGGUUUCUCUCCGGUAUGUGUUUUUCUAUGAGUUUGAAGAGUUUUGUGAUGUGAAAAGGCUUUAUCACAUUGAUUACAUUUGAAGGGUUUCUCUCUGGUAUGUGUUCUUCUAUGAGUUUGAAGAUUACAAUGAUGUGAAAAGGCUUUUUCACACUGAUUACAUUUGAAGGGUUUUUCUCCAGUAUGUGUCCUUAUAUGUCUUUGGAGACUAUAUUUAAGGGAAAAGGCUUUAUCACACUGAUUACAUUUGUAGGGUUUCUCGACAGUAUGAAUUCUUUCAUGCCUUUUAAGAAGACUGGGACAUGCAAAUCCUUUACCACAUUGUUUAUAUUCAUACUGUUUCUGGCCAGUUUGUGCUCUUUUAUGUACUUGGAGACUUGUGUAAGGUAAAAAGUCUUCGAUGCAGUGAAUAACUUCAGAGGGGAUCUUUUCUGUAUGAAUCCUUUCAUGCCUUUGGGCAUGACUGUGAGCAUGGAAAGCAAAUGCUUUACCAUGUUGAGUAUAUUCAGAGGGUUUCUCUGCACUCUGACUCCUUUCACACCUGAGAAGAGAAAUGGCACAUGUGAGAGCUUUACCACACGGAUGAAUACUUUCUUCUUGUUUUUCUGUUUGUUUGUUUGUUUGUUUGUUUACUUAUUAUAUGUAAGUACACUAUAGCUGUCCUGUCUUCUGACACUCCAGAAGAGGGAGUCAGAUCUCAUUAGGGAUGUUUGUGUGCUACCAUGUGGUUGCUGAGAUUUGAACUCAGGACCCUCACAAAGACAGUUGGUGCUCUUAACUGCUGAGCCAUCUCUGAAGUCCCAGAAUACUUUCAUCUCUAGCAUUUAAUGUUACUCUCUGUUUAGAUAUAGAUAUAAAGAGGCAUCAGACUUUUUAUCACUUUGCUUACAUUCAUGCUGUUCCCCUUCAUUAUGGGUUGUUUUUCAUGGUCAGAGACACCUGAGAAGGUAUGAAUAUUGAUUAUAUGGCCCAGUUUUACGUAUUCUUUUUCUAUAAAAGGUUGUUCCCAGACUUGAAGAAAAGUGGAGGAAUUCAGAGCUUUAACACACUAAGUGUAUUCCAAAUUUUACUGUACUGUGCGUCAAAGUGAACCAGGAGAAAUAGGAGCAUUUCUACAGCCCUAGGACUCAAGAAAAUUUUCUCCAGAAUGAGGUUGCUGAUGUAUUG
rnacentral:lncRNA from 1 species